GGGCUCGUGGCUCAAUUGGUAGAGCGCUGCAUUCGCAUUGCAGAGGUUGCCGGUUCAAGUCCGGUCGAGUCCACUA
rnacentral:tRNA from 1 species